rnacentral:rRNA from 1 species
CGCUGGCGGCAGGCUUAACACAUGCAAGUCGAACGCCCCGCAAGGGGAGUGGCAGACGGGUGAGUAACGCGUGGGAAUCUACCCAUCCCUACGGAAUAACGCAUGGAAACGUGUGCUAAUACCGUAUACGCCCUACGGGGGAAAGAUUUAUCGGGGAUGGAUGAGCCCGCGUUGGAUUAGCUAGUUGGUGGGGUAAAGGCCUACCAAGGCGACGAUCCAUAGCUGGUCUGAGAGGAUGAUCAGCCACAUUGGGACUGAGACACGGCCCAAACUCCUACGGGAGGCAGCAGUGGGGAAUAUUGGACAAUGGGCGCAAGCCUGAUCCAGCCAUGCCGCGUGAGUGAUGAAGGCCUUAGGGUUGUAAAGCUCUUUCACCGGAGAAGAUAAUGACGGUAUCCGGAGAAGAAGCCCCGGCUAACUUCGUGCCAGCAGCCGCGGUAAUACGAAGGGGGCUAGCGUUGUUCGGAAUUACUGGGCGUAAAGCGCACGUAGGCGGAUCGAUCAGUCAGGGGUGAAAUCCCAGAGCUCAACUCUGGAACUGCCUUUGAUACUGUCGAUCUGGAGUAUGGAAGAGGUGAGUGGAAUUCCGAGUGUANAGGUGAAAUUCGUAGAUAUUCGGAGGAACACCAGUGGCGAANGCGGCUCACUGGUCCAUUACUGACGCUUAGGUGCGAAAGCGUGGGGAGCAAACAGGAUUAGAUACCCUGGUAGUCCACGCCGUAAAC